rnacentral:rRNA from 1 species
UACAGAGGUCUCAAGCGUUGUUCGGAUUCAUUGGGCGUAAAGGGUGCGUAGGCGGAUUGCUAAGUCAGGGGUGAAAUCCUGGGGCUCAACUCCAGAACUGCCUUUGAUACUGGCGACCUUGAGUCCGGGAGAGGUGAGUGGAACUGCGAGUGUAGAGGUGAAAUUCGUAGAUAUUCGCAAGAACACCAGUGGCGAAGGCGGCUCACUGGCCCGGUACUGACGCUGAGGAGCGAAAGCCAGGGGAG